rnacentral:sRNA from 1 species
AAGCCAAGGUGCUAGGCCUUUGCAUUGGUCACAUCCCUCAUGUCAUGCCUUGUGCCCUUUUCCUUCAGGGAGGCUGGCGGUGUCUCUGCCCCUGUGGCUCCUGGAGGCAGGUGGCAAUAAGUACUUCUCGAGGAGAAUGAACCUCGAGUAUCUACAGCUGCUCUAUUCCAUUCCCGCCCCUCUCGUUAGGGCUUAAAAAGAGUACGGAGUCCAUGAUGCAGGUGGUUUGAAUGAAAAGCAACCCCCCUUAGCCUGGGUAUUUGAAACCAUGGCUCCCGGUUAGUGGUGCCGUUUGGGGCGCGUUAGGAAGAUGUUGGCAGAUGUACAUCGCUGGGGUGGGCUUUCUCGUUCCCCCUCUCUGCCUUGUGCUGCUCUUGAAACUGCAAGCUCUCAGCUGCCUGCUGCCGCCAUGCAGGUCAUUUGUGGGUAUGCUUCUCUUCUCUGAUGGACUCUUACUUACUUCUUUGGAAUUGUAAGGUGAAUCAAACCCAUCCUUCCUGAAGUGUCCUCCUCGGUCAUAUGAUCCAUCACAGCAUCAGAAAAGUAACAUCUAUGCUGCUGAGUCCCUUCUCUGCCACCCCAUCACUCAAGGCAAGCCCAGGUCCCCAGGCAAUCACACGGCAGCAUUCUUAUCGUGACUCCGGGGAAGCAGCCCCGCCUCCAUGUUGGGUCUGUGCACACAGGCAGCUCUGUUAGGCAGUUAAAGACACACAUGGGAAGAACGAAAAGCACGAGGCAGUGUUUAUGGAAAUCGAGAUGCCCUUGUAAUUAAAGACUGCUCUGCAGGGAGAACCUUUGGAACUUGAGCUCUGUGAGUAAGAAAAAAAAAGCCAGAACCAAAGUCUGGUGACCUAGGGACUCAUCCAGCCCUCACCUCCCUAGCAGGAGGAGGUGGAUGAGGCGAUGUGGUUUUCUCAGGACAACUGCCAUUUGGUUCUGUCUGUGGCUUAAAGGGUGGGCACAAGGUGAUCAUCGGCUUCUUGUUCGUCUACCAUAAUGGACUGUACCCUGGAACUGUGAGCUGAAGUAAGCCUCCCUUCUUAAGAUUACUCGUAUCAGGUAUUUUGUCACAGCAACAACAAAAUGUGACCAAUACACAUGCCCACUGAAGAGCACCCGCUCCUGCACCCAAAGGACCAGUAUCACCAGAAAGAAGACCAAGUGCCAGCAAGUGGCUUUCGGACAGGUAGGAUGUGAGAUACAGGAGGCCAGCAUAGAGGAGGAGGGUUAUGCUGGGGUUGAACGUGAGACAGACAGAAGGGAGAAUGAGUCACUGGUUACUCAGAUGGAGCUCUGGCGACAGACUCACCUGGCUGGGCCCAGCUUGCCUUAGGGAGUAGAACAGGUAGAGGUCUGGGUUGGGCAGGACAUGGAGACUUAGCGUCAGGCAACAGAAGUUUGGCUUUUGAUGAUCCCGUGCCCUCAGGAACAGAGUUCCUUCCUGCCUUGCUCCACCUCACAGGUCUCAGCUACCCAUCAUGUUAUCCAGGCUACCAGUAGAGUCAUCUUGACACAUUAGUCUGCCCCCUCCUCAGCCUCUUCAGGCUAGAUGCCUGCUACAUUUUCAAACAUCCCCAACUCAACCACCUUCCCCAGUGGAGCAUCCAUCCUGGCUGAAGAUUCCAUCGUUUCUUUUCUGUUGUGGCCUCCUCGACUGCCCCGACUUCUACAUGCUCCUGGAUGCCGCCAUGACUUUCGGACUCUGCCCUAGACUGAGCAACUUUCCUAAAAUGCUCUAAUAGAUUUCCUCUGUCCUAGGGAUGGAACCCAGCUCCUGACCCAGCUUCCAAUUCUGUAGAUGUCCACUGAGCACCUCCUGAGUAUCAGACACUUGUCCUAGGGAUGGGUGCUUCUGUGCCGGAAGAGACAGAGGACCACUGCCUCCAGCCAACAGGGUGACAGCAAACAAACAAGUUUCCUUAUCCGUAUGAUGUGGUGAGGUCGGAGGGUAAUAGCAUGCAGGCUACGGAAGGUGCUGCAGUGAGCGAGCUCUUGCCUUGCAAGUGUGAGGACCUGAGUUCCAUCCCUAGAACCUGUAUAGAAAACAGUGAUGCACACUUGUGAGGAGCCCAGCGCUAAUGCAGUAGGAAGCAGGACAGGCAGAUGCUCGGAGCUCAUUGCCAGUUAGUCCAGCCCACUUGGCAAAGUUCUAGUUCAAUGAGAGACCCUGUCUGAAAUAAUGAAAAGCUUCCUGAGGAACAACAUCUGAAAUUGCUUUUGACCUCCACACAUGUGUGCAGAUGCACAUGUACACACACACACCAAAAUAAAAAGAAAAAUGAUGAAUAAGGUAGAAGUGGCCAUGAGGGCUAUAUAGUAUGAGGAAACCCUGUAGAAGAUCCAAGUUGUGAAAUCUAUGUUUAGUUGUACAGAGGCCAGCUUGGGCGUGACAUCCACAUCAUAGGACUCUGGAGACUGGGAGUACAUGCUAAUAAGACUGGGGAAGGACAAGAGCUACUGCGGAUGUUACUGUGAUAGUCUUUAGGACUGAAUUGUAUCCCUCCAAAUCUGUAUGCUUGAGCCCUAAUCCCCAUUAGGCCUGUGUUUGUAAAUCGGGACUUUGGAAAGGUCAUUUACUUUAGAUGAAACCUCAGAGCUCUGUCUUCAUCCAAUAGGAUUGGUGUCAUGACAAAAAGGAGAGACACCAUGAGUGACCGGGCAUCCAUGCCACAGCAUAGGAAGACAUGGCCUGAGGACGGCCAUUGGCAAGUCAAGGAGAAGCCAAGCCGGCUGGACAUCUUGAUCUUGGACGUCCAGUCUCAGAAUAGAGAUAGUAAGUGUCUGCAGUUUUAGCCACAUACUGUGGUGCUUUGUUGUGACAUCUCCAGUAGACUGGUCCAGAUGUGCAAUGUUGGAGGGUCCAGAUGGACACAGCCCCCUUUGGAGGUGAUAUCAACAUCAAGCAGGACUCCAUGGAGAUGGCAGCCUGGGAUGCCAGGUAGAUGUGGCAAAUUCCUGCAAGUGUGGGUAAGCCAUGGGGACCUUUUAGGUAGGAACAUGGUCACCAGACUCAGAUGUCAAGACACUGGGGUUUCCUCUCACCCCUUCAUUUCCAUGCCAACUAGGAAGUGGGGGUGGGUAAGGGUGGUCAUUGCCCUAUGACUUCCUCUCUUUGGGGGUUGGGUUCUUUGGGGCCCAUUGUUCCCCUGAACAAAAGGACACUGAUCAUCUGGUUGUUUGUGGCUUCUGGUGCCAGUAGGAGAAGCUGCCUCUCAGUUUUUUCACUCCACCCUGGGGCACCAGAUGCUGCCAGGCCUCUGGGUACAACAGAGCCUACAGAGGAAGGAUGGAGAUUGGACCUGAGCCACAAAAGAGGUAUUGAUGGGUUGUGGGCGGGCUCGGGAGGCUGAGGACAGUACCAGGAUAGCCCUGGACUGACAUAGGCUUGCUGGCCUGUGAGCAGUAUGGCUGCUCCUCUGUGUUGAGCCUCAGUUUCUUUUGCUCUUUCCUACUCUUCCCAUUCUCCCCCUCCUAAUACCCUCCCAGCCUGUACAGCAGCUGCCUACCAGUCAAGGGCUCCAGCCCUCCUGCUGCCUCCUCUCUGGGUGGGUUGCCACCCCAGUCCAGGAUGCCUUUGUUUAGAUAUGCCCUUACCUGCCUUCCAUAUACACCCUAGAAGCCUCUGAGACGGCUGUUCUAGAAAAUAUCGACGGGACAUAGCUGUCUGGUUGAUCUCACUUGGAUCCAGGCGGCCACUGGGACCAGUGACCUACGUCUCCACUUCUGUCACCAUGACCAUCCUCUGGGAACAGGCUUCUGAUACUAUUUUCCCCAUAUCCUCACCAGGCCAGGUACCCUGGCUUUCCUCAGGACCCAGAUAUCUAGGCUCUUGAGCCCUACUGGCCUAGAGUGGGCAUUUUUCUAUUCUAUUCCCAGGGCCCUUGUCCUGUAUUGGCACCUUUCUUCUUUAUUGGGUUGACCAGCAGUCCGGUACUUGGGCUUACAUCAAGGCUGUGGAAUCUUGCAUUUAAAAUGCUAGUCCAAGGGGACAGUGCUAGUCUCAAAAGAGCAUUUGGGAUAGCUGGACAGGUGACCUAGGACGCCUUUUUGGUUCAGAUGUGUCAGUGCUGUUUCACAUCAUGAAUGCUCCAAGCUGCCCACUGUGGGGCCCCGUCUCAUCUCAUCCCUGUGGAGUCACCCACUGUUGGAUAUUUGCCAAGUGGAGAGAGAGUAAACACUCACUCCCAGAGGGUGUGCGUUUGCCCAGGCUGCUCCAUUUAUGCAGGGCCUAUGAGCAAGCUUGGUGCAGAAUCAGCUCCACCACAGCCCUUCUGAACCUGUAAAUGCUUCAGAGUCCCCUAGCCUGGCUUGUCAGUUUCUCCCAGGAGGCCGAGAGCUGGAUCCGAUCACUUCAACAGUGUUGGGCUCUGCCUUGUGUAGGUUUUCUUUGUAAUAGUUCAGAGGACUUCUCCUGUAUUCUAGCCAAUGAAUCCACUGUCAUAAGUAAUUGCAGAUGACAUUGGGACGCUUUCCACAGUGCUGUUCCGUUUGUUCCUUAGAGUCAGCUGUGAGGGACUCAGAGCUCAUGAUGAUUACCCCUCCUACUUCUAACAGAGGAGAUGCCAAGGCUUAGGGACUAUUAACAUUUUGCUCAAGGGCACACAGGCUGAGGUUGAGCAUAGUGCCCAGCUGGGAACAUUCUCUUCUGCUUGCCUGCCCGCCUACUGUCUCUGUUCCUCCCUCUUUCCUUUGGGCCUGUGGUGGGGGACUGGGUAUAGUCCUGGCUAACUAACAAGCCUUGAGAGUUUAACAAGCUAAAGUUGGGAGGCUUUUCUGCCUGAGGGGACAGACAUCCUCUUCUAAAUCUGGAGCCUCUGAAGACUCCCAUUCCAGCUUUAAACAAAUCUGAGAUUAAAAUUAGUAAAAUUAACCAUGUAGGGACAGAGGAUGUAGCUUAGUCAAUAGAGAUGGAGUGCUUGCCUGAUAUGUACAAAGCCUUGGGUUCUAGCCCCAGCAUCCCAUAAACCAUAGGCAUGGUGACCUCACCUAUAAUCCCAAUACUUAGGGGGUAGAGGCCAGAGAGCCAGGAGGGUCAUUACUGGUUCUAUAGUGAGUUUCAAGGUCAGCUUGGGUUAUAUGAGUCCCUCCCUAAUAAGCCAAAUACAUAAUUAUCCAAAUACAGUUGUAUUUCUGUGGCAAUUUUUCCAGCUUUAUGAAUACAUAUUUAGAAGCAAAUUGUUAUAUUUAUAUUUCUUUGUUUUAGAAAUAUAACCUCUUUCCCAGCCCCCCUUCUCAUUCCCCCUCCUCCUACUUCUAUG